AUGACGUAUUUCAGCGUAGGCGACAACAAUAUCAAUGGUACCAUCCCCUCAGAGAUGUUUACAAACUGGACAAACCUUGAGGUAUUCGAUGUUGCAAACAACUUAUUAGCUGGAAACAUCCCAUCACAGAUCAGCAACUGGGAGGUGUUAUAUAUUCUCAGCCUCUCCGGAAACAACUUUACUGGCUCGAUACCGCUGGAGAUGGGAAACAUGCCAUACAUGCAAAAAAUGGAUUUGUCAAAGAAUCAUCUUACGGGAACAAUACCAUCUCAUAUCGGUAAUUUGUCAUAUGUGUAUUUCAUUGACAUCAGUGCCAACCAUCUUGAGGGUGAGCUUCCUGAAACCAUCUCCUUGUUGGCAUAUCUUGCUGUUCUCAACUUGUCUGGCAACAAGUUUACAUGUAUCAUUACUAACGUCGACAACAAGCAGUUGCCAGUUGUCAAGGUGACCAAGAAUAGCAGCUUCUUUGGAGAAUCACUGUCUGCCUUCUGUAACCUAACCAGUCUCCAAUUCCUGGAUCUAUCGAACAAUCAACUGUUCGGAGAUCUCCCUGGUUGCUUGUGGAACUUGAAAGAACUACACUCCUUGGAUCUGUCGACCAAUGCUUUUGCCGGGGAAGUUCCAACCUCGACUCACUAUAGUUCUUCGCUAAGGUCGCUGCACCUGUCAAACAAUAACUUCACAGGUUGCUUUCCAGCAAUGUUAAAGAACUUUAAAAACAUUGUUAUUUUGGAUCUGGGGAACAAUAAGAUGUUUGGCGCACUUCCACCGUGGAUAGGGGAAAGCAAUCCUUUGCUGAGAAUCCUUGGACUGUGA
rnacentral:rRNA from 1 species